CAGUCGUACCGGCGGAUAAUCAGCCUUUCGAGUGCGAUUCUGUGGAGUGUGAGGAGCUAAACACCUUCAUGCCUGUACUAUUCGUGCUCUUAGGGUGUACUUGCUCGUGUGGUUGGUUAACAUCAAUUUCGGACGUCCAUAAAAUGGCUGGAGGAAUGUAGCUUCGAUCUCGUAUUGAAGUGUUAUAGCCUUCGGUAGACUGUGGUGAUCGAG
rnacentral:rRNA from 1 species